UUAAGAAAUAUCAAAUAAUUAUAUGAAUGAGGAAUACCAAAAAGAAGAAAAUGGUACAAUAGUCAAUACAUAAAAUCGAAAGUCCCUUGUCCAAAUUGCGAUAAUAAAUACAUUGAGGCAUAUCGUACUAAAUGCAAUAAAUGCCAUUGUGCACUGCAGGGACUGGAACCGUACCGAAAUUGACUGGUUUUGGACCGAAACCUUUUGAAAAUCUCGGAACCGAAACCGAAACCAGAAUCUAAAAUAAUAUACCAACGUUUUAAACUUUAGCCGACCCAUUUAAAGUUAUUAACCGUUUGGUUAAGAACCGCUGCUUUAGAGCCUUUUUUUAAAUAUAACUGUAAACAAAUAUCACAUUUAAAAGAUAAAACUGAUAAUAACUUACUACAA